AAACCGCACAAGGCUUGUUGAAGGAACCAUUAAUGCAUCACUGAUCUGGCAUUUCAAAUUAUCAUCAGAACUAACCUUUGUUUCAUUAACUUUAGAGUUGAAUGGUGUCCCAUUUGCAUCAAACAAUGGGGUAUUCACACAAUUUAGAGACAAAUAUGCAGUUAACUUGAUUCAGAGCACAGAAAUAAUCAUUACUUUGGUUAUCUUUGAAGUAACAGCCACACUUAAUGGCACAUUUUCUUGUGAAGUUUUUGCAACGGAACAAGCCCAACUAACUUGGAAAAGUAAUGUUCAAGUGGAUGUUGUUGCUCCUCCAAGCAACUUUGUCACCUCAAGUAAUCAAACCGUAAUAGCACCUGUUGAGUUGACUUUAAACUGCUCAGCUGUU